GUGAGACGCUCUGGUGCACCGCCACCAUCCUGGGGACCCAACUGGCAGACGGGAGAAGGCCUGGCACUGGCCAGCCUAAAGGGCUCGGGCACUGGGCCAGAGCUGGGCCGGGCCUCAGCUGGGGUGGGACCUUUCUCCACAUGGAAGUUGCAGAACCGGUUUUCCAUCCCCAAGAAGGAAGCCUCUCUGCAGGUCUAGAGAAGCCACGUUCAUCUCAACCCCGACGGAGUACGCUUGCUCUCCAGGUACGGCGAGGGCAUGGCAGAAAGUCACCCCGUGCUGUUUCCACUCCUUCCUUACCACGAGACCACGACCGCUGGAUCAGACGUGCCCGCAGACAAGUGAACACGGAGCAUGCUCUCGCAUACGCGGGCCCCCGCCCCCAGUGCCUGUCCUGAGAGGCCCUGGGACACAGCCCUGUCGGGGGUCUGCCUGCACACCAGGGCUGGCCCUCCAGAGGGAGUCCCUGUGCCCCUGAUUACCAGCCAUGACCUGCCUUUGACUCUCUGGAGCAUGUUCCGAGGAGACGAUCGGAAGCCCCUGCCACGGGGAACCUGCUGCCAGGGAGAUAAGAACAUAUAAAGUCUAAGUAAAACAGCUGCUCGUG